AAGGCAUCAGGCACACUUUGGGAGUGUGGAGGGCUGCUUGACAACCCCAAAGUGCCAUAUAUUGCCACUGUACCGAAUAUGCAUCUUUAUCUUUGCACUCAACCAUGUGGUUGCCAAGUCCUGCUUCUGGUACUUCAUGUCACAGCUGAAGAGGAUGAAGAAGUCAUCCAGGGAGAAUGUGUACUGUGGGCAGGUGUUUGAGAAGUCACCCAUGUUGUCUUGCCUGUGAAGAACUUUGGCAUCUGGCUGUGCUAUGAUCCCCUCAGUGGCAUACAGCAAGAGUACUGGGACCUGACCACUGCUGGCACAGUCACACAGUGCUACUGCAACACAGCUGCCUGAUAUCUGUGCACACUCAAUUGAGAUUAUGAAGGUAGAAGAGAUUUGCAGCUGGCAGGUGCCCCUGGCAGGCUGUCAAAGCAGUUCCACAACUCCAAGAUCAAAUUCCCAUUGUACCACCACGUGUUGCAAUGCCAGCCCAAGCCAUGCUUCACCGUCAAGAAGCCCAAUACUUUCUUC
rnacentral:lncRNA from 1 species